rnacentral:rRNA from 1 species
UACGUAGCAGCGAGCGUGUUCGGAAUUACUGGGCGUAAAGAGUGUGUAGGCGGUGCUCUAAGUUCGGUGUGAAAUCUCCUGGCUCAACUGGGAGGGUGCGCCGGAAACUGGAGUGGCUUGAGCGUGGGAGAGGAAAGCGGAAUUCCUGGUGUAGCGGUGAAAUGCGUAGAUAUCAGGGAGGAACACCUGUGGGUGUAGACGGCUUUCCGUCGACUAGC